rnacentral:rRNA from 1 species
UACGUAGGUGGCAAGCGUUGUCCGGAUUUAUUGGGUUUAAAGGGUGCGUAGGCGGUCCUAUAAGUCAGUGCUGAAAUAUCCCGGCUUAACCGGGAGGGUGGCAUUGAUACUGCAGGACUUGAGUAGAGUUGAGGUUGGCGGAAUUGACGGUGUAGCGGUGAAAUGCUUAGAUAUCGUCAAGAACACCGAUAGUGAAGACAGCUAACUAAGCUCUAACUGACGCUGAGGCACGAAAGUGUGGGGAUCAAAC